rnacentral:rRNA from 1 species
GAUGAACGCUGGCGGCGUGCCUAAUACAUGCAAGUCGAGCGAACAGAUGAGGAGCUUGCUCCUCUGACGUUAGCGGCGGACGGGUGAGUAACACGUGGAUAACCUACCUAUAAGACUGGGAUAAAUUCGGGAAACCGGAGCUAAAACCGGAUAAUAUAUUGAACCGCAUGGUUCAAUAGUGAAAGACGGUUUUGCUGUCACUUAUAGAUGGAUCCGCGCCGCAUUAGCUAGUUGGUAAGGUAACGGCUUACCAAGGCAACGAUGCGUAGCCGACCUGAGAGGGUGAUCGGCCACACUGGAACUGAGACACGGUCCAGACUCCUACGGGAGGCAGCAGUAGGGAAUCUUCCGCAAUGGGCGAAAGCCUGACGGAGCAACGCCGCGUGAGUGAUGAAGGUCUUCGGAUCGUAAAACUCUGUUAUUAGGGAAGAACAAAUGUGUAAGUAACUAUGCACGUCUUGACGGUACCUAAUCAGAAAGCCACGGCUAACUACGUG